GAAGGUGUAGCUCAGUGGUAGAGCACAUGCUUAGCAUGCACAAGGUCCUGGGUUCAAUCCCCAGUACCUUCG
rnacentral:tRNA from 1 species